UCUGGGAUAACAGCUGGAAACAGCUGCUAAUACCGGAUACGAGACGUGAAGGCAUCUUCAACGUCUGGAAAGAAUUUCGGUCUGGGAUCGGCUCGCGGCCUAUCAGCUAGUUGGUGAGGUAAUGGCUCACCAAGGCGUCGACGGGUAGCCGGCCUGAGAGGGUGACCGGCCACACUGGGACUGAGACACGGCCCAGACUCCUACGGGAGGCAGCAGUGGGGAAUAUUGCACAAUGGGCGAAAGCCUGAUGCAGCAACGCCGCGUGAGGGACGACGGCCUUCGGGUUGUAAACCUCUUUUAGCAGGGAAGAAGCGAAAGUGACGGUACCUGCAGAAAAAGCACCGGCUAACUACGUGCCAGCAGCCGCGGUAAUACGUAGGGUGCAAGCGUUAUCCGGAAUUAUUGGGCGUAAAGAGCUCGUAGGCGGUUUGUCGCGUCUGCUGUGAAAACUGGAGGCUCAACCUCCAGCCUGCAGUGGGUACGGGCAGACUAGAGUGCGGUAGGGGAGAUUGGAAUUCCUGGUGUAGCGGUGGAAUGCGCAGAUAUCAGGAGGAACACCGAUGGCGAAGGCAGAUCUCUGGGCCGUAACUGACGCUGAGGAGCGAAAGGGUGGGGAGCAAACAGGCUUAGAUACCCUGGUAGUCCACCCCGUAAA
rnacentral:rRNA from 1 species